CCUACGGGGGGCAGCAGUAGGGAAUCUUUCACAAUGGGCGAAAGCCUGAUGGAGCAACGCCGCGUGCAGGAUGAAGGCCUUCGGGUUGUAAACUGCUUUUAUAAGCGAGAAAUAUGAUGGUAACUUAUGAAUAAGGAUCGGCUAACUACGUGCCAGCAGCCGCGGUCAUACGUAGGAUCCGAGCAUUAUCCGGAGUGACUGGGUGUGAAGAGUUGCGUAGGUGGCAUAAUAAGUAGCUAGUGAAAUCUGGUGGCUCAACCAUUCAGACUAUUAGCUAAACUGUUAAGCUCGAGACCGUUAGGGGUAACUGGAAUUUCUAGUGUAGGAGUGAAAUCCGUAGAUAUUAGAAGGAACACCAAUAGCGUAGGCAGGUUGCUGGGACGGUUCUGACACUAAGGCACGAAAGCGUAGGGAGCAAACGGGAUUAGAUACCCUUGUAGUC
rnacentral:rRNA from 1 species